rnacentral:lncRNA from 1 species
CCGCCGCGGCAGGUGCACGGGCUACUGCCGGUGGACGUCGCCGCCGCCGUAGGGCACGUCGCCAACGCCGCCCUCCGCGGCCGCCGCUGGAGUCAUCGCCGCCGCCGCAGGAGUCAACCGCUGCCGCAGGAGCACGUCGCCCCUGCCGCCGUGGGGACACGUCACCAACGCCGCCCCCCGCGCCCGUCGCGGCCGCUGCUGGAGUCGUCGCCGCCGUUGCAGGUGCUUGUUGCCCCUGCCGCCGACUCCUGUGAUUUCAUCGCUGUCGUAGAGCGCAAGCCAAAGCUUCUCGAAUGCCACGCAGGGGCCGCCGUCGUCGCCGCCGUGCAGGGGCCGCCGCCGCCGCCGCCGCGCAGGGGCCACCGUCGCCGUCGUGCCUUCAGCGUGGCCACCGCCGCCGCGCCGUCCAGAUCGGGUGAAAGGGUAGGGUUUUGCUAG